rnacentral:rRNA from 1 species
UACGUAGGGUGCGAGCGUUGUCCGGAAUUAUUGGGCGUAAAGAGCUCGUAGGUGGCUGGUCGCGUCUGCCGUGAAAGCCCGCAGCUUAACCGCGGGCCUGCAGUUGAUACGGGCAGGCUAGAGUUCGGUAGGGGAGACUGGAAUUCCUGGUGUAGGCGGUGAAAUGCGCAGAUAUCAAGGAGGAACACCGGUGGCGAAGGCGGGUCUCUGGGCCGAUACUGACGCUGAGGAGCGAAAGCGUGGGGAGCGAACAGG